UACGUAGGGUGCAAGCGUUGUCCGGAAUUAUUGGGCGUAAAGAGCUCGUAGGCGGUCUGUCGCGUCGAAUGUGAAAACCCGGGGCUCAACUCCGGGCUUGCAUUCGAUACGGGCAGGCUGGAGUUCGGUAGGGGAGUCUGGAAUUCCUGGUGUAGCGGUGAAAUGCGCAGAUAUCAGGAGGAACACCGGUGGCGAAGGCGGGACUCUGGGCCGAUACUGACGCUGAGGAGCGAAAGCGCGGGGAGCGAACAGG
rnacentral:rRNA from 1 species